rnacentral:tRNA from 1 species
GGGGAUAUGGUGGAAUGGUAGACACGACAGACUAAAAUUGUGAUAUACAUGAGGGUUCAGGUCCCUCUUUCCCCC